rnacentral:lncRNA from 10 species
ACGCCAUUUUAUGCAAUACCUUUGAGAAUUCACGUUGACUAGAAUUCGAUGUUCCACUCAGCUAUGGCUUGUCUUUGGUAGGACAAUUACUAUUUAGCACUUGGCAAAAUUCUUGGUGUAAUUUGACUGGAUUAUUGGUAAAAAGAAGAAAAAUUGCAAGUGACACUAAAUUCUUCUCAGAUAACUGGACAUUCUUGGUUUUCCAGUAUUUUAGAAAAUGCUGGAGCAGGAGAAAGAAUGGGGUUUGGAAUUAGACACAUUUGGCUUUGAAUCUCUUUUCUACCACUAGGUAAUUGUAUGACAAUGGAGAGGUGAUUACUGCGCUGAAAAUCAGUUUCCUGAAGUGAAAAAGGGAAUCAAGUUACGUCACAGAGCCUGGUGUGAGCGGCGCUCUGUCAACACCAGCUCUUCAUGGGUUGUGGUUUCCUCCAGUUCCUGGAUGUGUGGAGUUCAUCCUCCACUGACUGGCGCCCCGGUUGACAAUGAGGUCUGGAAAUUGGCAACUGAUGAAGGGAAGUGUAUCAGUCCGUUUUCAUGCUGCUGAUAAAGACACACCCGAGACUGGGAAGAAAAAGAGGUUUAAUGGACUUACACUUCGACAUGGCUGGGGAGGCCUCACAAUCGUGGUAGAAGGCAAGGAGGAGCAAGUCACAUCUUACGUGGAUGGUGGUGGGCAAAAGAGAGAGAGCUUGUGCAGGGGAACUCCUCUUUUUAAAAGUAUCAGAUCUCGUGAGAUUUAUUCACUAUUAUGACAACAGCAGAAGACAGACCUGCCCCCAUGAUUCAAUUACCUCCCACUGAGUGCCUCCCUCAACAUGUGGGAAUUACGAGUUAUACUUCAAGAUGAUUUGGGUGGGGACACACAGCCAAACCAUAUUAGGGAGCAGGAAAAAGAAACAAAAACAGCAACUAAUAACUCCCAAGACCACAGCUUCGCUCCUGUCUAGAGCUUUGCUACUUAGCCACAGGAACACGGGUGAUCAUACCUCAACAGAAGUCUGCCAGCAUUCAUUACGACCAGUGCUUAAUCUCAUCUGACAAUAUCAAUGUCAAAAUCAGAGCUUGGAGCUGGCGGUGUUUCAGCAGAGGAGUCUUUGGAGCUUCCACGAACUGGUUCAAUAAACAAUCUUGCUGUGAAACACAGAGCUUGGUAUUUAGAAGGGUUUUAGCUGGCAUAUCCACAAAGCUGCAGCAUCCUGUCCACUGCUAAUUCCACUGUGAAAUGUUGAAAUACAGCUCUUAGCUCCGAGAAAGCAUGUAGGCUUCUAUUUGCAUGCAAAUCAUUGCCAUUCAUGUGUGAACUACAGCAGGUAACAGCUCUGCCAGAUGGAAUAAUUUGGGGUAAGGCCAUCCUCUUUGUUAAAGGCCACAGGUAUCCAUGCAUGCUGCAGUGUAGCUCAUUCCUACUUUCCACGUCACCCCCUGGGGAAUAAUCAUUUUAAUGAUGGGCCUCAAGGAAAGGAAACGCCAUUCUACCCUGUCAUCAUUUAGUAAACAAAAUGGUGCCAAUUAGUGUAAUGCUGACCUAAUGUAAUAUUUGAUGCAAUUAGUAAAUUGAGAGGGAUAAAAAGGAACAUGGUAAAUUGAUAGAUCAAGAAAACUCCCUUGGAUUUUGAAAAAGUACAGAUUGCAUGCAUGUUUCAAGGAAAACCACUGUGGUCUCACCCCAGGUGGCAGUGCCUUGUAGUGGUUAGGAGUGUGUGUCUCUAGAAUCGGAAUGCUUGUGUCUCAAUCGCAGCUCUACCUCUUACUAACCAGAAGACUUUGAAUAAAACUCACACUUCCUAAGUGUCAACUUCAUCAUCUGUAAAGUGAAGAUAGUAGUAGACAAUUGAACUUAAUCCUCUCCUGGUCAUAUGAGGUAGGUCUGAUUUAAGUAGUUGAGCAGCCUGCCUGAUACAUGUAAAGCUUAACAAUAACUAUAAAUAAUCAUAAUUACAAUGAAUAAAAUAGCCAUAGAAGCUAGUUGCAUUAAAUUUAUUUGUAAUAAAUGUAGUAGCUAAUGCUGUACUUGAUCAAUUCACAGAGCUGAUUUCUCCAAUAAAUAGGAAGCUCCUAAGUAUAGAGACCAUGUCUUCUCUUCUUGUCAUCAGUGGUUUGCUCACCAUCUAACACUUAGGAUGUAUUCAACAAAUGGUUAUUAAAUGCACAGGUUUUAAAAUUAGUAGCAUUUUUUGUGUUAUUUAUUCCUUUACCUCCUCCUUCUUCAUAUCUCUUUCUCCUCUGUCAUCAUCAUCAUCAUCAUCAUUUUUUAUCCUCUCUAUUUCCAAAGACAUGGGGAUAAGAUUUGUCCCAGCAGGAUUCAUGCUGGUUACAUGGAAAGCAACACUGUUGAUAUUCAAAUGUCCCCUAAGGCUACCUACCUCCUUAUGAAUCUUUGGUAUCUUUCGUUUGAAUCUCCAGGCAUACUCUUUAUCUUUUCCCAAGCCUGCUCUAUGCAUUAAUUUUAUGGACUCCAUUAAUUAGUUUGCUUAUCUUUUAGUUUCCUGUUGGAUUAAGCCAGUGAGAACCCAGAAGGGUAAGGAGAGAGUUAGGGCAGGUUUCUGUCUUCUGGGUCUAACUGUUUGCCUUUGUUUUUCUCUCUGUGGCUACAGCUUCCACUAGGCAACUUUCUCUUAUAGCUUUAGUGUUCCUCUUUGGAUUCUGGUAUGUACUUCUUUUCCUUGCCAUUCCCUUAUUGGUUUUCCAUCACCCUGCCCACUCUUUAGUAAAUGUCCCUUUCAUUAGUUUCUCCCCUAGGUUGCUCACCUUGAGUAUGUCAUCUGUUACCCAUCAGGACCUUGACUGAUACAGGGUUCUAGAGCAUAUAAACUUCAAUGGUCUGCCACCAAGUCUGUGUGAUAUCUAGUUCCCACUUGCCACGUGGCAGGACCUUAGCAGCAGAAAGGGACAUUUUCUUGCCUUUACAGUGAUCACUAAGUGACGAGAAGAAGAGCAGGUGUCUCCUACAUAAUUGCUGCAGAACCGUUGUUUCUCAGGUCCAGCUGUUUUUGUCUCUUUUAUGCUAUCUGUCUCCAAAUCUCUGAUAUGUUGCUAAUAUACUGCUUAGGCCACCUAUGAGAUAUCCAUGAGGUCCAUUAUGGUGGAUAAUUAGAUUUUAGGGUCAGAAAUCCUGAAAUCAAAGCCUUUCCCAAAUUGCCUAUCAGUCAGAACUCAAAAGGAUUCUAGGACUCAUUUAAAAAUUCAACUUUUUUUUUUUUGCCAUAGAGACAGGGAGGAGUUGCUCAACUAACAUGUUGGCAACUACAGACAGCUCUUUUGUCAUCUGUUGGAUAAGGGAGACACUUAAUCAAACACCUAAAACAAAACAUGCUUGUUAUUUACAAAGAGAUAUGUAAAAGCAAAUAUCAAAUGUUUGCACAAACUUUUUAUAAAAGGACCACAACUUGAGAACCCCAGAAUAAUGUCCAGAGAUGCCUGUGACUUCCAUUUGAAACCAUACUCACUUGGCCGGGCGUGGUGGCUCACGCCUGUAAUCCCAGCACUUUGGGAGGC